rnacentral:rRNA from 1 species
GAUUAGAGUUUGAUCCUGGCUCAGAAUGAACGCUGGCGGCGUGCCUAACACAUGCAAGUCGGAUGUGCCCGCAAGGGUGCAUGGCAGACGGGUGAGUAACGCGUGGGGAACCUACCUCUUUGUGGGGAAUAACGUUCCGAAAGGAAUGGUAAUACCGCAUGAGACCAUGGACUGGGAUGUUCAUGGUGAAACCCGGGGACCGAAAGGCCUGGGGCAAGGAGAGGGUCCUGCGUCUGAUUAGCUAGUUGGCGGGGUAACGGCCCACCAAGGCGUCGAUCAGUGGCCGGCCUGAGAGGGUGAUCGGCCACACUGGAACUGUGACACGGUCCAGACUCCUACGGGAGGCAGCAGUGGGGAAUUUUGCGCAAUGGGCGAGAGCCUGACGCAGCAACGCCGCGUGGGUGAUGAAGGUCUUCGGAUCGUAAAACCCUGUCGUCAGGGACGAAGGUCACGAGUUUAAGAGAUGCGUGACUCGACGGUACCGGAGA